rnacentral:rRNA from 1 species
CGGCAGGCCUAACACAUGCAAGUCGAGGGGUAACAUAAAGUGCUUGCACUUUGAUGACGACCGGCGCACGGGUGAGUAACGCGUAUACAAUCUGCCUCAUACUAGGGGAUAGCCCAGAGAAAUUUGGAUUAAUACCCUAUAGUAUCAUUUAGAGUCAUCUCUUCAUGAUUAAAGGUUACGGUAUGAGAUGAGUAUGCGUUCUAUUAGUUAGUAGGUGAGGUAACGGCUCACCUAGACCACGAUAGAUAGGGGCCCUGAGAGGGGGAUCCCCCACACUGGUACUGAGACACGGACCAGACUCCUACGGGAGGCAGCAGUGAGGAAUAUUAGACAAUGGGCGAAAGCCUGAUCUAGCCAUGCCGCGUGCAGGAUGACGGCCCUAUGGGUUGUAAACUGCUUUUAUACAGGAAGAAAAAACUCUACGUGUAGAGUCUUGACGGUACUGUAAGAAUAAGGAUCGGCUAA